rnacentral:rRNA from 1 species
GGGUUGUGAGGUUAAGCGACUAAGCGUACACGGUGGAUGCCCUGGCAGUCAGAGGCGAUGAAGGACGUGCUAAUCUGCGAUAAGCGUCGGUAAGGUGAUAUGAACCGUUAUAACCGGCGAUUUCCGAAUGGGGAAACCCAGUGUGAUUCGUCACACUAUCAUUAACUGAAUCCAUAGGUUAAUGAGGCGAACCGGGGGAACUGAAACAUCUAAGUACCCCGAGGAAAAGAAAUCAACCGAGAUUCCCCCAGUAGCGGCGAGCGAACGGGGAGCAGCCCAGAGCCUGAAUCAGUGUGUGUGUUAGUGGAAGCGUCUGGAAAGGCGCGCGAUACAGGGUGACAGCCCCGUACACAAAAAUGCACAUACUGUGAGCUCGAUGAGUAGGGCGGGACACGUGGUAUCCUGUCUGAAUAUGGGGGGACCAUCCUCCAAGGCUAAAUACUCCUGACUGACCGAUAGUGAACCAGUACCGUGAGGGAAAGGCGAAAAGAACCCCGGCGAGGGGAGUGAAAAAGAACCUGAAACCGUGUACGUACAAGCAGUGGGAGCACAGAGCAAUCUGUGUGACUGCGUACCUUUUGUAUAAUGGGUCAGCGACUUAUAUUCUGUAGCAAGGUUAACCGAAUAGGGGAGCCGAAGGGAAACCGAGUCUUAACUGGGCGUUAAGUUGCAGGGUAUAGACCCGAAACCCGGUGAUCUAGCCAUGGGCAGGUUGAAGGUUGGGUAACACUAACUGGAGGACCGAACCGACUAAUGUUGAAAAAUUAGCGGAUGACUUGUGGCUGGGGGUGAAAGGCCAAUCAAACCGGGAGAUAGCUGGUUCUCCCCGAAAGCUAUUUAGGUAGCGCCUCGUGAAUUCAUCUCCGGGGGUAGAGCACUGUUUCGGCAAGGGGGUCAUCCCGACUUACCAACCCGAUGCAAACUGCGAAUACCGGAGAAUGUUAUCACGGGAGACACACGGCGGGUGCUAACGUCCGUCGUGAAGAGGGAAACAACCCAGACCGCCAGCUAAGGUCCCAAAGUCAUGGUUAAGUGGGAAACGAUGUGGGAAGGCCCAGACAGCCAGGAUGUUGGCUUAGAAGCAGCCAUCAUUUAAAGAAAGCGUAAUAGCUCACUGGUCGAGUCGGCCUGCGCGGAAGAUGUAACGGGGCUAAACCAUGCACCGAAGCUGCGGCAGCGACGCUGAUGCGUUGUUGGGUAGGGGAGCGUUCUGUAAGCCUGUGAAGGUGUGCUGUGAGGCAUGCUGGAGGUAUCAGAAGUGCGAAUGCUGACAUAAGUAACGAUAAAGCGGGUGAAAAGCCCGCUCGCCGGAAGACCAAGGGUUCCUGUCCAACGUUAAUCGGGGCAGGGUGAGUCGACCCCUAAGGCGAGGCCGAAAGGCGUAGUCGAUGGGAAACAGGUUAAUAUUCCUGUACUUGGUGUUACUGCGAAGGGGGGACGGAGAAGGCUAUGUUGGCCGGGCGACGGUUGUCCCGGUUUAAGCGUGUAGGCUGGUUUUCCAGGCAAAUCCGGAAAAUCAAGGCUGAGGCGUGAUGACGAGGCACUACGGUGCUGAAGCAACAAAUGCCCUGCUUCCAGGAAAAGCCUCUAAGCAUCAGGUAACAUCAAAUCGUACCCCAAACCGACACAGGUGGUCAGGUAGAGAAUACCAAGGCGCUUGAGAGAACUCGGGUGAAGGAACUAGGCAAAAUGGUGCCGUAACUUCGGGAGAAGGCACGCUGAUAUGUAGGUGAAGUCCCUCGCGGAUGGAGCUGAAAUCAGUCGAAGAUACCAGCUGGCUGCAACUGUUUAUUAAAAACACAGCACUGUGCAAACACGAAAGUGGACGUAUACGGUGUGACGCCUGCCCGGUGCCGGAAGGUUAAUUGAUGGGGUUAGCGCAAGCGAAGCUCUUGAUCGAAGCCCCGGUAAACGGCGGCCGUAACUAUAACGGUCCUAAGGUAGCGAAAUUCCUUGUCGGGUAAGUUCCGACCUGCACGAAUGGCGUAAUGAUGGCCAGGCUGUCUCCACCCGAGACUCAGUGAAAUUGAACUCGCUGUGAAGAUGCAGUGUACCCGCGGCAAGACGGAAAGACCCCGUGAACCUUUACUAUAGCUUGACACUGAACAUUGAGCCUUGAUGUGUAGGAUAGGUGGGAGGCUUUGAAGUGUGGACGCCAGUCUGCAUGGAGCCGACCUUGAAAUACCACCCUUUAAUGUUUGAUGUUCUAACGUUGACCCGUAAUCCGGGUUGCGGACAGUGUCUGGUGGGUAGUUUGACUGGGGCGGUCUCCUCCUAAAGAGUAACGGAGGAGCACGAAGGUUGGCUAAUCCUGGUCGGACAUCAGGAGGUUAGUGCAAUGGCAUAAGCCAGCUUGACUGCGAGCGUGACGGCGCGAGCAGGUGCGAAAGCAGGUCAUAGUGAUCCGGUGGUUCUGAAUGGAAGGGCCAUCGCUCAACGGAUAAAAGGUACUCCGGGGAUAACAGGCUGAUACCGCCCAAGAGUUCAUAUCGACGGCGGUGUUUGGCACCUCGAUGUCGGCUCAUCACAUCCUGGGGCUGAAGUAGGUCCCAAGGGUAUGGCUGUUCGCCAUUUAAAGUGGUACGCGAGCUGGGUUUAGAACGUCGUGAGACAGUUCGGUCCCUAUCUGCCGUGGGCGCUGGAGAACUGAGGGGGGCUGCUCCUAGUACGAGAGGACCGGAGUGGACGCAUCACUGGUGUUCGGGUUGUCAUGCCAAUGGCACUGCCCGGUAGCUAAAUGCGGAAGAGAUAAGUGCUGAAAGCAUCUAAGCACGAAACUUGCCCCGAGAUGAGUUCUCCCUGACUCCUUGAGAGUCCUGAAGGAACGUUGAAGACGACGACGUUGAUAGGCCGGGUGUGUAAGCGCAGCGAUGCGUUGAGCUAACCGGUACUAAUGAACCGUGAGGCUUAACCUUACAACGCCGAAGGUGUUU